CAGAGAUUACUACCCAACUGGAGAAAAAAGAAAAAACCGUAUCCUGCUUUCUACUUUCAAAAGCUAUCUUGAGUUAUCCCACUCUUCAAAAUAGCCUGAAACCAGAAGCAAUGAAGAAUUAAAAUAUGAGUACAAGGGGAAGUGCUAUAGCUCAAGAUCAAGGAUCAGGAAAGGGGUCUAAUGGACAGAAAGAAGAUGUCCUCUUGUUUUCUUGAGCAAAAUCCAAAGGAAUACACAGCUGUUUAGAGAAGUACUGAACACAAGAACCAAGGUUUGGAGUUUCAGCUCUCUGCUUUCCUUUGACAGGAAAUCCAGCUGUCAAAUUUGGUUUGCAGUGGGAAUUUUACAAAGAAAAUUCCAUCUGAACAAAAGUGAUUUAGAAGAAACAUAAAGGAAUGAGGAACUAUGAAAAGCAAGUGCCUUGCUUCAACCAGUUUGUCAGAAAGUUCUUCCGACUCUGAAUAGAGACUGCUAAACUUGCUGUGACAUGUCCCUGAGUGACAUGUCUACUCCUUGAGGAGUAGACAAAAAUCUAGAAUUAGUCAAAUCACAAAAUGGCAACCCAAACUUGAAUAGACAUAGUCUACCUGAGCAAAAAUCCCCAGGGGCAACCACAGAGCACUGCUAAUUCCAGAAGUACUGGAUCUCACCGUGCAUUUAUUUGUACAUUCCUUUUUAAUGCCUGCACAAGAAUGAUAUGAUAAUGACAAAUUAAAACUCCUUUCGUUUUCAGUAAAUGUAACAUCAAACCUAAGUGGUAGUGUACUGGAAGUGUUCUGUAUCUCAGCUGUGAUGAUAAUAUUACUGCAUGUAUUUGUGAAAACUUGGCUGAACUACAUGUUAACUGAGGUGUUUACCUAAUUAUGCAUUUAUGAGAUUUUUAAAAUAUUGUAUUAGUUCAAUUGGCACUGCUUUUUUUUAUUUCUUCUUUGUAGUUUAUAAAAUGGUUCCUCUGAACAUUUGAUGGCCUUGGCCUAGACUUGAUGGAAUAUAUCAUGUCUAAAGAUUGACAUUAGAGGGCUGAAAUUCUUUUGUGUCUGACCAGCGUUCUAUGUUGGGUUUAUUUCCCAUAACUAAACAUAAACAUACUCACCAAUUUUUCACAAUUUUCUUGGUUCUAAAACUACUGACUUACAAAAACGUAUUCUGACUCUCAGAAAACAUCAGUUAUAUGUUUUAAAAUUUUCUAUCUGAAAGAUAUUAAGGAUGGAAUCAACAAGAGAUAAAUGAAAAAAAAUGGCACACCCCAAAAGUACAUCCAGGUUACUGUCAUCAAGUUAAGACCAGGAAUAAAUCAAGAACCUGAGCAACCAUCUGCAAAAGUUCAGAGGGAGAAAAAUGUUUUCAUUUAUAUUCUCUAAGAUAAACUCUAGAAGCAUCUAGAUAGAUCAAUCUAAAUUCAUAAUUUUUUUUCUGAGGUUCAGUAGUUCUUAUAGACCUGAGAAUAUAAAACACAUUUGGUUUCAUUCUACAAUGAAUAUACCUUCAGCAUGCUUUUGAUUUCUCACAGCCCCUCCCUUACUUGGUCGGAUGCAAAUUUGUGAUUGCCAUGAUAACCCAUUUCAAAUUGAGGCUUUGAAAUUUUCCUCUGACAUCACAAGUAGCUAAAGGUAUUUUGAGACAUAUCUCACCAACAGCAAGCACCAGAUAUAAGAGAACUAAAUCAUUUUAUUUCUGACACAUGUUUUACUUAAGAAAGUAGGUCAGCCAAGAAUAUUUGAAUGCCUUUCAAUUUCAAAUGCCUGCUUUACAGAAAAACUGAAAUUGUUAACAUAUAUAGGAUUUUUUUCAGUGUCACCGUUCUAUAAAAAUUUGAGUCAAUUUACAAAAAUGAAUUAACUGCCUAAGUUGUACUAGAUAUUUUGAUUUAUGUAUUGAAGUAGGUAAGGCAUAUAUUUUCAGAAGAUUUUGUCAUCUAUUUAAUUUACAUCUGUUAUUUACUAAUUCAUAUCCUGGAAUAAAACA